GACGUAGGGCGCGAGCGUUGUCCGGAUUUAUUGGGCGUAAAGAGCUCGUAGGCGGCUUGUCGCGUCGACUGUGAAAGCCCGGGGCUUAAACCCCGGGUCUGCAUUCGAUACGGGCAGACUGGAGUGUGGUAGGGGAGAUCGGAAUUCCUGGUGUAGCGGUGAAAUGCGCAGAUAUCAGGAGGAACACCGGUGGCGAAGGCGGAUCUCUGGGCCAUUACUGACGCUGAGGAGCGAAAGCGUGGGGAGCAACAGG
rnacentral:rRNA from 1 species